GUUCAAUGAAAGGCUGGAACUGAAUUAAGAACCAAGAAAUGGCGUGUCUAAGGAUAUUAAAAAAAUUGAUCUCUUAGAUAGCUUAGAAAGAAUGAAUCUAAGCAUGGAAGCAAAUAAUGAGUGUGUCUAUUUGAGAAUCGAUCUAUUGUGCCUUCUAAUACUACUGUUUGUUCCUGAUGUAAACUCAGCGGCCAGCGACAUAGCUUCCGUUGACUUUAUUGAUGUGUGCGAGGUGAAAUUAUUCUCCCAGUCAAAUACCGAGCCGUUCGGGCAGUUGUGCUCGCUAUGUGUUAAGUUCCAGAAUCCAGAAAAAGUCAUCCAAAAAGUACCCUUAGCUUUCUUACACGAGAAGAAAAAUGGCAACAAUUGUAAUGAUUAUGGAGGAUUUAACGGUAUGGUGGUCACUAAUGAUGCGAAUUGGACUUCGAACGACUCUUCCGUGAAUUGCAGAUUGCCCGCAAUUGAGGAAUCGGCUCAACAGUCGGCAGUGGAAGGACUCAUUUUGACAUAUGAAGAUACGACAGUUGGUGUGAAACUGGAUGAAGCAGAUUUCAAGUUGCCAACAGUUUUCAUUUCAUUCGAUACUCUACAGUUUCUAAUAGAACAAG